rnacentral:RNase_P_RNA from 1 species
CGAGUCGGCUGGGCGGUCGCGUCGGCGGGGGAGACCCCGUCGCCGAGGAACGUCCGGGCUCCACAGGGCAGGGUGGUCGCUAACGGCGACCCGGGGUGACCCGCGGGACAGUGCCACAGAGAACAGACCGCCAGCGCUCGCGCUGGUAAGGGUGAAACGGCGGUGUAAGAGACCACCGCACACCGGGUGACCGGUGUGGCUCGGUAAACCCCACCCGGAGCAAGGUCGAGAGGGACGGCGGUCCGCCGCCGUCCUGCGCAGGCGUUCGAGGGCUGCCCGCCCGAUGCCUGCGGGUGGACCGCUGGAGCCUGCCGGCAACGGCAG